rnacentral:rRNA from 1 species
CAUCCUGAGACGUGAUACCGAGCCGUACAGGCGAAGUCACUGAUCCUAUGCUGCCGAGAAAAGCCUAGCAGCGAGUUGGCACGGUGCCCGUACCCCAAACCAACACAGGUGGACAGGUAGAGAAUACCAAGGCGAUUGGGAGAACUGUGGUUAAGGAACUCGGCAAAAUGCAUGCGUAACUUCGGGAUAAGCAUGACCUCGUUAGGGUGAAGGGACUUGCUCCCCGAGCUCGAGGAGGUGGCACAGAAUUGGGGGAAGCGACUGUUUACUAAAAACACAGCAGCGUGCGAAGCCGUAAGGCGCUGUAUACGCUGUGACGCCUGCCCGGUGCCGGAAGGUCACGGGGAAGGGUUAGCCCUUUGGGGCGAAGCUCUGAACCUAAGCCCCGGUAAACGGCGGCCGUAACUAUAACGGUCCUAAGGUAGCGAAAUUCCUUGUCGGGUAAGUUCCGACCUGCACGAAUGGCGUAACGACUUCCCUACUGUCUCAACCACAGACCCAGCGAAAUUGAAGUACGAGUAAAGAUGCUCGUUAGCUGCAGAAGGACGAAAAGACCCCGUGGACCUUUACUAUAGCUUGGUAUUGAGUUUUGUUAUGCGUUGUGUAGGAUAGGUGGGAGACUAGGAAGCAUGCACGCCAGUGUGUGUGGAGUCAUCCUUGAAAUACCACCCUGCGUAUGGCGAGACUCUCACCCAGGCCCGUUAUCCGGGUCGGGAACAGUGCCAGGUGGGUAGUUUGACUGGGGCGGUCGCCUCCUAAAGAGUAACGGAGGCGCCCAAAGGUUCCCUCAGACUGGUUGGCAAUCAGUCGUCGAGUGCGAUGGCAUAAGGGAGCUUGACUGCGAGACGUACAUGUCGAGCAGGUGCGAAAGCAGGGCAUAGUGAUCCGGCGGUUGCGUGUGGAAGCGCCGUCGCUCAACGGAUAAAAGGUACCCCGGGGAUAACAGGCUAAUCUUCCCCAAGAGUCCAUAUCGACGGGAAGGUUUGGCACCUCGAUGUCGGCUCAUCGCAUCCUGGGGCUGAAGCAGGUCCCAAGGGUUGGGCUGUUCGCCCAUUAAAGCGGUACGCGAGCUGGGUUUAGAACGUCGCGAGACAGUUCGGUCUCUAUCCUCUGCAGCCGGAAGUGACUUGAGGAAGGCUGUCCCUAGUACGAGAGGACCGGGACGGACGCAGCUCUCGUGUGCCAGUUGUCCUGCCAAGGGCAUGGCUGGUUAGCGACCUGCGGAAGGGAUAACCGCUGAAAGCAUCUAAGUGGGAAGCUCUUUUCAAGAUGAGGUCACUCACAGGGUCAACCUGGUAAGGCCCGUGGUAGACGACCACGUUGAUAGGCCGGAAGUGUAAGCGUGGUAACACGUUCAGCUGACCGGUACUAAUCGGCCGAGGGCUUGGGCC